rnacentral:rRNA from 1 species
UACAGAGGGGGCAAGCGUUAUUCGGAAUUAUUGGGCGUAAAGGGCGCGUAGGCGGCUUGGCAAGUGGAAGGUGAAAUCCCUCGGCUUAACCGAGGAACUGCCCUCCAAACUGCUUCGCUUGAGACCGGGAGAGGUGAGUGGAAUUCCGAGUGUAGAGGUGAAAUUCGUAGAUAUUCGGAAGAACACCAGUGGCGAAGGCGGCUCACUGGCCCGGUUCUGACGCUGAGGUGCGAAAGCGUGGGGAGCAAACAGG